UAUCGUUAAAGGCAGGUGUAUUGUUUGC
rnacentral:sRNA from 1 species